UGCAGUGUAGUAUGAUGGUUAGUGAGCUGGGCUUAUAACUGAGAGGUUGUAGGUUCAAGUCCCAUGACUGGAG